rnacentral:rRNA from 1 species
AGCGGCGGACGGGUGAGUAACGCGUGGGUAACCUGCCUCAUACAGGGGGAUAACAGUUGGAAACGGCUGCUAAUACCGCAUAAGCGCACAGUACCGCAUGGUACCGUGUGAAAAACUCCGGUGGUAUGAGAUGGACCCGCGUCUGAUUAGCUAGUUGGUGAGGUAACGGCCUACCAAGGCGACGAUCAGUAGCCGACCUGAGAGGGUGACCGGCCACAUUGGGACUGAGACACGGCCCAAACUCCUACGGGAGGCAGCAUG